GGCAAUACCGAGGCAAGCUCAUGGCGCCCUGUCCAUGGUUUUCGCUAUGCUCGUCGCAACAGCUGCUGUCGAAGCACAGAUCGAUGCAUGUGGCGCUGACCUCAGAGCGUUUCUUCCUUCACCUUUCAGUUCAUCCAGGCUCCACUGCGCACCGGUCUGGAACAACUUCAUCCUCAGGCAUUGGCAGAAUCAAGAUAACAUCGUUAGCAUUAUAUUAUCAACAACUUAUACAUCAGGUUGGGUUGGUAUUGGUUUCUCCAAUGAUGGGAAGAUGGUUGGGUCAAGUGCCAUGAUCGGCUGGAUUGACAAUCAUGGCAGAGCAUAUAUCAAGCAGUACUACCUGGCGGCCAGACUAGUUCAGGAGUCAAAGUUGAUCGAGGAAACUUGCUCACAACAGAUACUCCUCCUGCAGUUGUGCUCUAUGGAGACAACAUUUACUUGGCAUUCCAAGUGAACUUUUCAGUUCAACUUGCCCAACCCAACAUUAUUUUGGCCUCCUCGGCAAUAACACCAAACAUGUUUCAUCUAGCAGAACAUGAUGACAAGACAACGUUAUCUUUUGAUUUUUCAUCAGGUGAUCCUGUUAGCACUUACUAUCCAUACCAGCUGAAGAAAAAUCACGGUGCACUUGCGAUGUUUGGAUGGGGUAUUCUGCUACCUUUGGGAGCAAUCGUCGCUCGUUAUCUCAGGCAUAAGGACCCGCUUUGGUAUUACCUUCAUGUAC